rnacentral:lncRNA from 1 species
UUAAAAUAUAUUCUCUAAAUGAGAUUUUAUCAUCAUGUUUUAGGAUAUGCAAUGUACCCAGACAUAAACUCACACAUCUGUGGACACCUGACUUUUGAUAAACAAGCAAGAAAUAUAAUACUGAAGAAAAAGAUUUCUUGAACAAAUGGUGUAACUGGAUGUCGGUAUGUAGAAGAAUGCAAAUACCUAUUACCCAGCACAAAACUCAAGUUCAAGUGCAUCAAAUACUGAAUCUGAUAGAAGAAAAGGUGGAGAGUAACCUUCAACAAAUUGGCACUGGAAACAACUUCCUGAAGAGAACACCAAAAUCUCAGACAUAAAGACCAACAUUAAUAUGUGGGACUACAUGAAAAUGAAAAGCUACUGUAAGGCAAAGGACACUGCCAAUAGGAAGAAAUGGCAGCAUUUGACACAUCUGAGAGAGGGCUAAUAGCCAAAAUAUCUAAAGAACUAAAGAAACUAGACAUCAACAAACUUAAUAAUACAAUUUAAAUAUGAGGUGCACAUCUCAACAAAGAAUUUUCAAAGGAGAAAUCUUAGAUGGCUGGGAAACUCUUAAAGAAAUUUUUAACAUCUUUAGCAACCAGAGAAAUGCAAAUCAAAACAAUUUUGAGAUUCAAUCUUAUACCUGUCAGAAUGGCUAAGAUCAGUCACACAAGGGUCAGCUCAUGCUGGUGAGGCUGUGGAGCAAGGGGAACACUCCUUCAUUGCUGGUGGGAAUGCAAACUUGUAUAGCAACUAUGGAAAUCAAUAUGGCAGUUCCUCAGAAAAUCAGGAAUUUAUCUACCUAAAGACCCAUCCAUACCAGAAGCUACCCAGUGAUAACUCCUGGACAUAUAUCUAAAGGACAUUCUAUCCUAUCACAAGGACACUUACUCUACUAUGUUCAAAACAGCUUUAUUCAUAAUAGCCAAAAACUGGAAACAACUAAGAUAUCUCCCAACCAAAAAAUGAAUUUUUAAAAAUGUCACAUAUCUACACAAUGGAGUACUGAUACAAAAAAUGUGGUACAUUUACACAAUGGAGUACUACGCAGCUAUUAAAAGGAAUGAAUUUAUGAAAUUCCUAGGCAAAUGGUUGGACCUGGAGGGUAUCAUCCUGAGUGAGGUAACACAAUCACAAAAGAACUCAAAUAAUAUGUACUCACUGAUAAGUGGAUAUUAGCCCAGAAACUUAGUAUACCCGAAAUAUAAGAUACAAUUUGCAAAACACAUGAAACUGAAGAACGAAGACCAAAGUGUGGACACUUUGCCCCUUCUUAGAAUUGGAAACAAUCACCCAUGGAAGGAGUUACAAAGUUUGGAGCUGAGACAAAAGGAUGGACCAUCUAGAGACUGCCAUAUCCAGGGAUUUAUCCCAUAAUUAGCCUCCAAAUGAUGACACCAUUGCAUACACUAGCAAGCGUUUUCUGAAAGGACCCUGAUAUAGCUGUCUCUUGUGAGACUAGGCGGGGCCUAGCAAACACAUAAGUGGAUGCUCACAGUCAGCUAUUGGAUGGAUCACAGGGCCCCCAAUGGAGGAGUUAGAGAAAGUAUCCAAGGAGCAAAAGACAUCUGCAACCCUGUAGAUACAACAACAUUAUGAACUAACCA